UGGCAUGGUCAACUGCGGUGCGAUUAAUUCGUGCUGAGGAAAAUCCGCUCUAGCACUUUCUGAAAUGAAAGUAGUGUUCACGCUAGAUCAAAGAAAUCUAGACAACUAAAGAAAUUUUAGUUGAUGACUAGUGCAACAGAGACGAGCUUAUUAAUUUAAGUAUGCAACGAUGUAAACUCCGUGAGCUAGAAACCCAAAUUUUGGUAGGGGAACUAGAAAAGGGGAACUUUUUAACCUAAUUCUGGAGACUAAUGCAAAUUAGUUUAGAUAGAUAGUUGACGCCAUAAUUUUUAUGGAACAAAAAGCGGUUUACAGUG
rnacentral:RNase_P_RNA from 2 species